rnacentral:rRNA from 1 species
UACGGAGGGAGCUAGCGUUGUUCGGAAUUACUGGGCGUAAAGCGCACGUAGGCGGCUUUGUAAGUUAGAGGUGAAAGCCCGGGGCUCAACCCCGGAAUUGCCUUUAAGACUGCAUCGCUUGAAUCCGGGAGAGGUGAGUGGAAUUCCGAGUGUAGAGGUGAAAUUCGUAGAUAUUCGGAAGAACACCAGUGGCGAAAGGC